CUGACCCGCCAUGUGACCCGCCACGUGACCGCGAGCAGCCCGCGCCAGCGCCCCCCCUCCCGGCGGCACCGCCGAAAUAGAGCCUGAAUGGGAAAACGCCGCCGAACAGCGUAAACGGACACGCGCGGCCUUAGAACGGUUCAGUGCGUCGUGAAAUCAACAGCGCAAGCUCAAGAUCUACUAUCACUGAAUUCAGGAAGUCAAUCUGUGAUGUGAAAGAACAAGGCUGAGGACUGCACUUCCAGAGAAAGCAAGCAACACAGGAAAGGCCCUCAAAAUGACAUGGGCAUUAAUUUUUACCAGUGUGUCGUUGUAUUACAGAAAGCACGAGUGGAGGCUGACAGAAUGGGGGUAGGAACUGGGAGAAACUUCCCAAAGGACUCCUCAGUAUGAUUUCUGUUCAGGAGCCGGCUAGUUCAGCCCAGCCCAUGUCUGACAGACAUCGGUGGGUCUCAACCCACCACUGAUAGUUACAACUCUUUCUGACGUUACGUUUGAACGUAAAGCCAGCAGUGUAAUUCUGAUCAGAACUGCAUCUCCAGUCCUCUGAGCCUGCCGCUCAGGUGGGUGCACUGGGGGCAACCGGAGUCCCUCCCAGAGCUGUGCUGGAGGCAGCAGCAGGACCGCACUGCGCGCCCACGAGGCACCUCCCAGAGCUGGCUUCAGCCAGACAGGGAUCAGUAGGAGCAGUGCAGAACCCCUGCUGACAGUAAGCACGUAGUGCUUGGCAAAUCAACAGGGAGCAAAAGAAAGCAAGCCAAAAAGCAGAACAAACC